CUUAAACAAUAAAAGAAUCAUUAAUACCGUAAAACAAGGUCAAGAUGGUCCUUAGUGUCGACUUAAGCAGUACUAGUACUUAAAGUAUAAUACUGCACUGUCACUAUAUUUAAAUCUAGUCAUAAAAAAAAUCACCAAAGUCUGAAUUAAGCACAAUACAAGACAAGAACAGACAGACAUAAUGAUUAUGAGAAUUUCGGUUUUUGCUUUAUCCUACAUAUCGGUCUACUUUUAAUGUUGUCCCCGU
rnacentral:lncRNA from 1 species